GACGAAGGGGGCUAGCGUUGCUCGGAAUCACUGGGCGUAAAGCGCACGUAGGCGGAUUGCUAAGUCAGGGGUGAAAUCCUGGAGCUCAACUCCAGAACUGCCUUUGAUACUGGCGAUCUUGAGUCCGGGAGAGGUGAGUGGAACUGCGAGUGUAGAGGUGAAAUUCGUAGAUAUUCGCAAGAACACCAGUGGCGAAGGCGGCUCUCUGGAACGGUACUGACGCUGAGACGCGAAAGCGUGGGGAGCGAACAGG
rnacentral:rRNA from 1 species